rnacentral:lncRNA from 1 species
UGUCACUUAUUUUUCCCCAAUAAGAACAUCUUGUAGUCUAUUUCUCUUUAAGCAACAAAAUAGUGAUUAAUUGAUGCCAUUAAAAGAAGAGCAAAUAAUUAAAAACUCUGUAGACUAGAACCCCAUGGUUUCUUAUCUAAAGAAUGAAUUAACGCAGGGGAGAAAACAAUCGAUACUAGCGGCGUGGUGGUUAGUCGGCAUAGGAUCUUCCUUCGAUACACCAAAGCAUGUCGUUGCCUUCUCUUUUCUGCCGAUCUACUUUUUUAUUUCAAAAUUUUCUCCCUUUUUCUCCAGAUCUGUAUUUGUAGUGUUGUUUAAUGUUUGAAUUUUUAAUUGCGGACGAAGGGUGAUUUGUGGUGGUGGUGCACGACGGUUGCUUUGAUUGUGGAGGGAUGAUUGGGUGUGAUUAGUGUUGGGUGGUGGUGGUGGGAUGAGUGAUAGUGAUGAGGUUAUCGGGAUCGAAGUCCACGAGAAGUGGAUCGAAGGAGGAAUUGGCGUCCGGGGAAUGGCGGAGAGGGUUGGAGGUGCAGUAGGAGGUGAGGCAGCUUUGGAGGAGAGAGACAGAAAGGAGGAGGGCGGUGGUCAAGCCGCAGAGGACAAGGACAGAGGGGAACAGAGGACGGGGAAGGGGAAGGGGAAGG